GUUCUCGUCUCUGUUUCUCUUUCUCUCUCUCUCACUUUUUUUUGCCCAGAGUGUGCUCAGCUCCUCUGACGAUUCCAGUUUGGUCUCUCUUUCUCUCUUUGCCCCCACCUCACUUGGAAGAACAAACGCACACUGCCGAGAGCCCGGUGCCGCGGACACUAACCCCACACACACAUACACGCACAAAAUCUCGUCUUAUCGAUGCAAGUGGGAGGAGGGACCGAGAGAGAGCGAAAAAAAAAUCAAUUCACACUAUCCAGCCAGAUGUUACGGGCAUGAAUACCGUUACGCGUCCAACGCGAAUGGCUUCACUUGGAAGUAGAUUUUUCUUCCUCUCGCCAAUUUAUUUUUGCUCCACUCCACUCUGGUGUCGAGCUGCUUUUUGCCGAGAUAUAUCACUCAAAUCCCGGAUACAAUCAACUGAAUGUCUGGAAAAGGGGACCAUAUCAGCAGAUCUGGAAUUUUUAUUUUAAUAUGAGAGUCAUACAGACGGCCAUGGACGAUUCCGAUUGCAGAAUGCAAAACCUGCCAGCUGUAGAACGGCGAGAUGAAAUUUGAUAUCCAAACUGCGUCUUGUAGGAUGUGCAGAUUUCUGAGAUGGCAUUAAAAUAUGUUUUAAAGGUUUCUGAUGAAAUUUUGUUUCUGAAGAAACUGACGACUGGACACCAAAGUAACUGAUGAGAGCAUCGCUGGCUAAGCAGCAAUUAUUGCCCAUCCCUAAUUGCCCAGAAGGCAGUUAAGAGUCAACCACAUUGCUUCUGGUCUGGAGUCACUUAAGCCAGAACAGCAGGUGAUGGAGAACAUUUUAUAGGUCUACUGGAAGUAGCUAUUUAUCUGGGUGACGUGCUAACAACCAGGAACACCAAUAAAAAGCAUUUGGAGAAUUUGAACACGGUGCUGAAACAUUUGUCCAAGGACCGUCACCCACAAAGCUACAGAGACAGUUCUGACCGAGUUGCUAAUGUGGAAAAGACUGUGUGCACUAGGUUGAACCUGAUUUUCCUGGACCUGGCGAGUCGGGGAGAGUGAAAUGGUACCAGGACUGCCAAUGCCAGAUACAAGACACUGCUGAACGAGAGGGACAGUUUGCUUCAGGGGACAAAGUUUGGUGUCAAAAUCAGGGGAAUAGCCCUACACUGGUAAGACGCAUGGUUUACGUGAGGUCAGGUCCCGUGACCUACAAGGUUUGGGUAGAUGAAGCAGCCCUGAACAAGCAAUAGGACCACAUGAAACCUGCUACCUUGCAAAUGGGGUAGGAACAUAACAUAUCAAGUCCCUCAGAGCCCGUGGGUUCUCCCCUUCCACCUAGUGUCAAAGAAACCUCUGAGGACAAGAUGGACACAGCAGAUGUUGCAGCCUCGAUGAUGUCACCCCCUAGAGAAGAUGAGUUUCGGCUGAGACACUCCGGGCUCAGGAGGCGGGCUACACUUGGAUAAACAACAUUAGCAGCAAAGGCAGAGUUGGAGGAACUGGGCCUGGGUGUGAAAACACCCCAGGUGGAGUGACAGGACAAAGAAUGGGUCUACGUCUAAGGAGUUAUAGGGGAAGGGUAGUAAUUGGAAUGAGGUCAGCCAGGUGGAUAUCAUAGAAUAUGAGUUCCCAAUUGGGACUGUUAACCUGUGCCAAUCAGGGAACCCUGGCUGACAGGUACAAACAGGAGUAUCCAAGGUUCUGCUCAUUCGAGGAGCUGCCUCUGAUCUAGCUGGGUCAGAGUCAUGUACUAUACAUGUAUAAUUAAAGGGUGACUUGAUAAUGGGAUACCAGUCUUCAUGGAGCUAUUUCAACUGUGCCAUCUGGUAGAGGUGGUAACAAGAAGCUAAGCAUCUUCUUAAUGAUCCAAAGUGGAAGAAAGAGUCACCCAGAGGCACUGGAACAGAUUUUAUGACAGACGUUUCUUAUUUGUGGAACAGCAGUAAAUUUAAAAAUAUGUCCUAUGGAGUGCAAAUUCGUUUUUCAAUAUAGCAAAGAGGUUAGAUAUCACUCUGACUGAGAUACUGCUGACUCUGAGCGAGAAAUAAUUAAGACUUCUCAAAGUUGUGAAAACAGAAUUUCAUUAUUUCUAUCUUAAACCAUAUCAAUUUCUAUCCUUUCUAAUAGAAUAUAAACACAUCUAAAAUGCUGCAAUAUAAUUAUUUUCUUUUAUAACACAAAAUGGGAACUAUAAUCUUAAACUAACAACACAUUCUUUAAUUAAGAGACAACUUGAGAGAAAUUUUGAGCUGGCACGUUUAGUGUGUUUGUGAGCAUGCAACAGGUUUAAAAAUGCAAACAUUUCUGUAAUAUCAGUGAGUUGGUUGGAAGUUGUUGACUUCCAAUUCAACCUGAGCACAAUCUGCAGCAAAGUUUAGAUUUCAUUGAAAGUACUGUUGUCAUAACAAGGGCACAACAGUAGUCCAUGAUAUACCUAAGGCUGUGCACGUUGACACAGGAAGUUGUGAUUCAGAUAGCUGGGCAAAUCAAGGGGUACUUGCCUUCCAGCCACGCUGGCAGUCUCCAUGAUUGCAUUGUCAGCAGUGUACCAAAUAAUGAGCCUAUCGAAAGAGGAUUACAGCUAAGCAAAGAGCUUAUCCAUAGCUCAGGACAACGCUGAUAAUCCUGAGACUAUUACCAAAGAAACACUGUGGUGUAACUAUGUUAUUCAAUAUCCUUUUAUUGCUGAGUUUUUUUUUUACCUGAGGCACUAUUUUCACAAACUGACUUCUCCAUUGCUCCCAAACAGUGGUCCAAAUGCACCAUCUCAAUUUAGUUUGAUGCACUAUCUCGAUGAGUGUGGAAGUCCAUCUUUUGUAUUUUUAUAUAUCCGAUAUUGUGCCAGUUGGAAACAGGAACUAUGAACAAAAUGAUAAUAAAAUCAUAGGUAUCUAGAUUGGUGCUGUACAAGUUUUCAGUAUCUCUGUCCUCAGCCUUUUGCAAUUUGAUGCUUCCUGUUGUUGACAGUGUUGAUUUUGUGUGUCGUACAUACUAACAUCGCUUUCUGUGCAGCAAAUUCCCAUGGAAGGAAUAAGUGUAGAGGCUGGCUGCUGGUUGCUAAUGACAGCCUUCUGGGAAUUAAAGUAAUAAAGAUCUAAUGGAAGCCAUUGGGGAUAUAGGAAAGGUGGAUAGCACUUCGAAUUUUAAGAAAAAUGCUGCAGAGAAAACAGUCAAUGGAACUGGAUUGACCUUUAAAAAGCUUCGGAUAGCUAGAAUCAUUGACUGAAAUGUAAUUAGAAUUAGCAUCCUUUACUGAAGGCAAAUUCAGUGGGAUUCAUUUAAUAAAGCUGUUAAGAAAGACAGGAAUUGUUUAUGAAGGCAACAAUUACAUAGAUUCAGUUAGAGUCAGUCAUUACCAAUUAUGAGAAAACUAUAAAGCUCCAUUUAACUCCUAGAAUGCAGGAAUUCUCCAUUUCAUCUGCAGAGGAUGUGAACCCCCCAUUUUGACAAAACAGCAAGAAUCCUGUAUGCAAGAAUAAGUCCUUUGAAGGCAUAGCAAGUAAAUAAUCACAUUAGAAAGAUAUGAUUGAUAUCAGAAAUAAUACUGCCAGGGUAAUUUAAUUUCAGGAAUUGACCAAAUAAAAUAGAAUUGGACAUGGAACCUAGCAUUCAGUCCCUCCAGGCUGCUCCGCCAUUCUAUGAGAUCAUGGCUGAUCUCUAGCCUAACUCCAUAUAUCUGCCUUAGGCUCAUGUGUUUUGAUAUCCUGCUUAAUAAAAUUUUGUCUGCCUCACAUUUAAAUUUAACAAUUGAAUUAACGUCAACUGCUGUUUGAGGAAGAGAUUUGUAAACCUUUGCUGCUCUGCAUGUCGAAGUGCUUUCUAACAUCUCUUCUGGUCAUAACCCUUCGACAAUGUCCUCUGCUUUUACAACCUUCAACCUGUAGUAAUGGUUUAUCUUUAUUGACUCUAUCUUUCCCUUUAAAAUCCUGAAGAUCUCAAUUAGAUCACCCUUUAAGCUUCUAAAUUCUCGGGGAAAAAAGACCCUUAUUUGUCUAAUCUUUCCUCAUAUAUUAAUUCCUGAAUUCAGUCAUCAUCCUUGUAAACCAGCGUCGUACUCCCUCCAAGGCCAAAACCUCAUUCCUCUGGUGUGGCACCCAGAUCUACUGAUAGUAGUCCAAGUGGCGUCUAACUUGUUCUAACUGUAUAAAUGCAACAUAACAUCUGCAUCCUUAUCCUCCAGCUCCUUAGAACUGUAAAGUCUCUUCUGAUCAUCUUUAAUGUCCCAUGCAAGUUUCCUUUCAUAAUCCUUUUUAGCCAUUCUUUUAAACUGCAUGGUGGUCCUUUAUUGAUGUUUUUUUGUAUUUGUCCCAUUCUGGGUCAUCCGUACUAUCCUUUGCAUCUUUAUAAGCCCAAUCUUCUAAUCUUUUAUGCUGUCCCUUAUGUCCCUAGAUUUACAUAUUUUUAUUGUGAGGUGGAUUGUUUCCUUCGCAUGGGUACAAACUGCUUCUGAGUAGAAUUAAAUGUUUCUUUGAAUACCAUCCAUUUCCCAAUUUACUGUUGUCACCCUUUGCCUCAUUGCAUUAAGAAUCUGCCUUAUUUCGAUACAAACUUCUAGUAUCUGAUCUUUGCUUAUUUCUUAAAAACACAACAUGAAACAACUAUUUGACAAAUGCUCAUGAACAACUAGGUCACGAAUUAAAUCAAGCUUAUUACUCAUUACUAGAUCCGAUAUUGCUUGCUCAUAUUGUUUGUUCCGUGACAUUUUGCCCCAGGAAACUGUU